rnacentral:tRNA from 1 species
AUCUGGUUAGCUUAGUCAGUAGAGCAUGGGACUCUUGAUCUCCAAGUUGUGAGUUCAAGUCCCACAUUAGGUG